UUUGAUCCUGAGCUGUUAAUAUAUAUGAUAUCAGUUCAUUUGAUCCUGAGCUGGCAACAACCCUUAUGGAGUUGAAAGCACUUGUCAAAAGAGAUACUUAGAAUCAUCUUCAAUGGGGGAUACCAGAGCACAUCUGAUUUGUGUUAACGAGGUUGUAAAAUUGAGGAUCUUGCUAUUGACUUUGUUGUCCCCGUGUAUCCAGAAUAUGUGCUUUCUUCAGAGGGUACCUCAGAUAAUGUAACUGAUGAGAGUUUGGAUGAAUAUGUUUAUUUUGUUGUCGACACUGCGGUUAAAAGUGGAAUCUCAAGACAACUGGAGGCUUUUAAAUCAGGAUUCAGUCAGUAUGCUGUAUCAUGGUAUUUUUACUAAGCACACUUCAGGUAUUCUCGGAGGAUGAGCUGGAGAGAUGACUCUGCGGAGAACAAGAUAAUUGGGAUUCCUGCAAUCAUUCUCUCUGAUGAUGACCUGCCGAGUGUGAUGAUUUGUGCUAACUAUCUCAAGUGACCUGCCUACUGCACCAAGGUAUCUUGUUGCAGUGUCGGCUUGACAAUUCUUCUCUAGGGGAUUCAUCAAAGAAGCAAGGAGAGCAGAGAUUAGGUUAGUAGGACUUAUCUUGAGGUGAAACUCUUAAAAGAACAGGGAGUUUGGUACUACUACUAUUGUUAACAUGAGAACGCAUUCCCUAAUAAAGGGAAAACAACGGACGUGGAGUAUGUAAUCACGAGCUCACAGGAGCUCGGUAUCUGAUCCGUCCAGAAUAGCUUUGUGAUUCGAUGAAUUAAAUGAGUGUGGCAGGCUGCGGGUCCACAUGAAUUCCAUACGUCACUGUACGCACUUGACCGAUGGGCCCUGGCUUGGACGGACGUUUGGACGCCAUGGACGGAGCGAGGCAGAGCCGUGGCUCAAGAUGUCGUCGGCGUCUGAUCUGUGGAUCAGAUCCGGUGCUUUCCGGUAGUGGCGGCAGGGCACGCAGUAAAUGUAAAAGUUGGGCGCUGGGGCAAGCUAUCCCCUACCCAGUGAAGUUGGAUCUUGCAUUCUUCAAGGCAGGGAACCGGUGGAGAAAUCUCCUGCAGGAAAGGGGAGUGGGCGGUCCAGCGAGCAUGGAGUUCUUGUUGCAGCCAUUAAACAGGUUAGAAUCUGCUCGCUGUGGCUCCGUUUGGCACGGUUUUGGAUUAAGUUUUUAGCAAUGAUUUGAUUUUGUCUACUGAAUAUUUUUGCGGAAGUACCACAACACUGCUAGAGAAGGUUAACGAGAACAACAACACCAUUGAGCCUCUUCACUACCCAGUCAUGGCGCCGGCGGUGGUUGAGCUGCCGGCCCCGGCGGCCUCAAGUGCAGAAGGCCAAAUCUGUGUUGAAGGCGCCGCUCCAGAGCCGGCCAGUGCAGACAAGGGUCAAGGUUCAGAGCACUCUAUAGAGCAAGUGGAUCCAAAAGCUCCGGGGUGGACGCAAAGAGUGCGUGUUGGCGCUGCCGCACUAGGCUGAGCUCCUUGCCCUCACAGGAUCUCAGCCCUGGAGAAAUCAGUCCGGCAAUUUGCAGAAAAACCAGGAGACUUUGUCAUUGUGCAAAGAUAGGAACAAGUUUCGACACACUUGGUGAGGCGUACGAUUUUUGACAAUUUAUAUUCGUGGGCGAAAGGAUUCAGUAUUAGGUAAGGGAAGAGCAGGCUAAAUGUGGACCGGACAAGAUGCAUGCAAAAGAUAGUCUGUGGGUGUGCGGAGAGACCGCUUACGUGAGCAAACAUCGCAACUAAAAGACAUGCUGGCAAAAUCUACACACGAACUAUGUUCAAGCAGUUUUGCCAUAUAGUAUAUGAGUGUGGAGCAUACCAGAUGGAAGAGAUCGAGAAAGGAAAAAUGUAUAUUACAAUUCAUACCGAGGAAGAGCUGCGGGAGAAGUGGUGAGGAAUUUGAUUGUGAAUGUGGCCAGUUCGCACACAUGCGGAUGCUCUACAGCCAUGUCUUGAAGGCUCUGGACUUUAUUCUUAUUAAGGAAAUACCUUGGAAGCACAUAGUGAAAAUAUGGACUAGAGAUGCCAGAGACAUCCUACCCCCUCAUCUGACACAAUAUCAGAAGGACAAUGCUCACAAAAAUUCAUCUAGUUAUAGGCAUUUCAAUAUGUAGAUGCAUGACAUGAAGCUUGUCCGUAUGGGGGACACGAGUGUUGAAGCAUAUAAGCAUCUAAUUUCUAUGAUCAAGAAUUGUGCUGCUGGAAUGACACCAUUUGCUGAAAUAAUAAGGGACAGUCUUGGAUUAGAGGACAUGAUGGCAGAGAAUGGAGAUGUUGUUAACCAGGUUCAGACACAAGUUAGUAUUCAGUUUGCACCAAACAGAGUGGAUAGUGUUGUUGGCAACGACGAAACGACUCGGCUAACGAGUCUGGUAAUAGGCUGUCAGGAUUAUUACCUCUGGCUAAGAGGAAGGACAUGGAAAGGCCUACGACAAGCAGAGAGAAGGCGCUUUAUGAAGGUUUGAGUAAGAGGACAAGAUUUUGCACGAUUUCUUGGCGGCAAGGCCACAAAUGUACAACUUUGCCCUGAUCGCGGGGAUGUCCCAAAGCAGGCGAGGAAACCUGCACGAUGCAAAAGUUGUGGGGUGGACAAAGCAGCAGAACUCAGACUGAAUAAUUUACAAACUUAGAUUGUUUCAGCAUGACAUAUUUCUGUCAUGGCCGGUGACUCAUGCCAGAGCUAGCACAGGGGACUGGAGUGCUAAUGUGACAUUGGGAGCGUCAGUGUGUGUGGGCACAGCCGGUCCUUGUGCGUGUAAGUGUCGGGCGCUGGUGUGGUGUACGUGAGGCCCUGGUUAGGAGUCGUGUGUGGUUUGUGGGUGCAUAAACACCCAGUCUUGUAAUGUGUUUUGGGUGGAAAAAACGAAAAUAAGUAGCAAAAGUCUGAAUUCCCCUGUC